rnacentral:rRNA from 1 species
UAAGACGGAGGGGGCAAGCGUUGUCCGGACUCACUGGGCGUAAAGGGUCCGUAGGCGGUAGAAUGCGUCGGUGCUGAAAGCGCACGGCUUAACCGAGCGAGGCGUGCCGAUACGAUUCUACUCGAGGCAGGCAGAGGGUGGCGGAAUUCCGGGUGUAGUGGUGAAAUGCGUAGAGAUCCGGAGGAACGCCUGUGGCGCAAGCGGCCACCUGGGCCUGACCUGACGCUGAGGGACGAAAGCGUGGGGAGCAAACCGG